rnacentral:rRNA from 1 species
CUGAACUUAAGCAUAUCAAUAAGCGGAGGAAAAGAAACCAACAGGGAUUGCCUCAGUAACGGCGAGUGAAGCGGCAACAGCUCAAAUUUGAAAUCUGGCAGCCUUCGGGCGGUCCGAGUUGUAAUUUGAAGAGGAUGCUUUUGGCGAGGCGCCUUCCGAGUGCCCUGGAACGGGACGCCACAGAGGGUGAGAGCCCCGUAUGGUUGGACGCCGAGCCUCUGUAAAGCUCCUUCGACGAGUCGAGUAGUUUGGGAAUGCUGCUCAAAAUGGGAGGUAAACCCCUUCUAAAGCUAAAUACUGGCCAGAGACCGAUAGCGCACAAGUAGAGUGAUCGAAAGAUGAAAAGCACUUUGAAAAGAGAGUUAAAUAGCACGUGAAAUUGUUGAAAGGGAAGCGCUUGCGACCAGACUUGUGCCCGUCGAAUCAGCCGCCGCUCGUCGGCGGCGCACUUCGGCGGGCUCAGGCCAGCAUCAGUUCGCUGCAGGGGGAGAAAGGCGGUGGGAAUGUGGCUCUUCGGAGUGUUAUAGCCCGCCGCGCAAUACCCCUCGGCGGACUGAGGACCGCGCAUCUGCAAGGAUGCUGGCGUAAUGGUCGUCAGCGACCCGUCUUGAAACACGGACCAAGGAGUCGUCCUAAUAUGCGAGUGUUCGGGUGUAAAACCCCUGCGCGUAAUGAAAGUGAACGGAGGUGAGAGCUUCGGCGCAUCAUCGACCGAUCCUGAUGUUCUCGGAUGGAUUUGAGUAAGAGCAUAUUGGGCCGGACCCGAAAGAAGGUGAACUAUGCCUGUAUAGGGUAAAGCCAGAGGAAACUCUGGUGGAGGCUCGCAGCGGUUCUGACGUGCAAAUCGAUCGUCAAAUAUGGGCAUGGGGGCGAAAGACUAAU